rnacentral:rRNA from 1 species
GACGAACGCUGGCGGCGUGCCUAAUACAUGCAAGUUGAGCGCUGAAGAUUGGUACUUGUACCGAUUGGAUGAGCAGCGAACGGGUGAGUAACGCGUGGGGAAUCUGCCUUUGAGCGGGGGACAACAUUUGGAAACGAAUGCUAAUACCGCAUAAUAGCUUUAAACAUAAGUUUCAAGUUUGAAAGAUGCAAUUGCAUCACUCAAAGAUGAUCCCGCGUUGUAUUAGCUAGUUGGUGAGGUAAAGGCUCACCAAGGCGAUGAUACAUAGCCGACCUGAGAGGGUGAUCGGCCACAUUGGGACUGAGACACGGCCCAAACUCCUACGGGAGGCAGCAGUAGGGAAUCUUCGGCAAUGGACGAAAGUCUGACCGAGCAACGCCGCGUGAGUGAAGAAGGUUUUCGGAUCGUAAAACUCUGUUGUUAGAGAAGAACGACGAGGAGAGUGGAAAGCUCCUCGUGUGACGGUAUCUAACCAGAAAGGGACGGCUAACUACGUGCCAGCAGCCGCCGUAA